ACGUUUGAAAUAUGCCGAAUUAUUUUCAUUGUGCUAUUUCUCUGUCAUCACAGGACAAGAAACAAUAUAGACAGCAUGCUGAAAACAAGGUUAUAUAAGGUAUCCUUAUAAAAUUGAUUGUCAUACAAAUAUCGCAAGCGAUAUUACCAAACUUGUGUCACGUUGCUCAUUAUAAGUUUGUCGAUAAAACACAGGUAAACGUUUAGAGUGUAGCACGAAAUAGAAAAAUAAGACAUGAUUAACAUUACAUUUGAUGAGUAAUAGAUGUUAAUAAAAUUAUGUAUCAUCUGUUUCAGUAAUGAAAUUAUUUACCAUUUUCAAAGAAGAAUAUUAAGAGGCUUUAACGAAAGAUGCGUAUAUCGGAAAUAUGUAGUAGAAAUCUCGAUAGCCAAAUAAAAAUUUUACGGGACGGUUCACAGUUACAUACUGUCUUGUUUCGACAUCACAUGUUAGCGUUUCGAAAUGUUACGCUGAUCACGUUAUGUUCUUGCUAAUUUGCAAAAGGCGAAAUUCUUGCUACUUUCCUAUUCGGUUCGUUACGAAAAAUGGCAUGAUCUUGGAAUUGCGUAUAUGCACGCUCGUAGGGGGGGGGGUACCUUUUUAUGAACAAAUUUUAACAAAUUGUCAGAACACUAAGUUCAAAGUACAUCGUUGAAAUAAUGUUCUCUACACGAUAGCACCACCUGUUCACCCGCUCAUCGUAAUUUAUGUACAUACAUACAGUGGCUACAAGAUUCAUACGUACUUAUCUUUAGCCGAAAAUUAUUUGAUUGAAUGCGAAACGAAGCAUCCUGUUUAUUAGAUUCUACGUUUCAGUUCCAUAUUUUUAUAAUCAUAUGAAAUUAUUAUUAAAUGGUAUGGAAAUUUGUUAUAGAUGGAUAUAAUUAAUUGGUGUAUAAAUGCAACGUAAUAAAUACAGCGGUGUAGAAUAUCUUUUGCAAUCACCGUAUACGUCUUUCGACUAACAAAAACUACUUGUUCGUUAAUAUAUCCAUUACGCAUAAGAAAAUAGACAUUUUAUAAAAAAAA